rnacentral:rRNA from 1 species
GACGAACGCUGGCGGCGUGCCUAAUACAUGCAAGUAGAACGCACAGUUUAUACCGUAGCUUGCUACACCAUAGACUGUGAGUUGCGAACGGGUGAGUAACGCGUAGGUAACCUGCCUGGUAGCGGGGGAUAACUAUUGGAAACGAUAGCUAAUACCGCAUAAUAUUAAUUAUUGCAUGAAAAUUAAUUGAAAGGUGCAAUUGCACCACUACCAGAUGGACCUGCGUUGUAUUAGCUAGUAGGUGAGGUAACGGCUCACCUAGGCGACGAUACAUAGCCGAACUGCGAGGGUGAGCGGCCGGACUGGGACUGAGACACGGCCCAGAGUCCUACGGGAGGCAGCAGUAGGGCAUCGGCGGCAAGAGACGAAAGUCUGACCGAGAAACGCCGCGGGAGUGAAGAAGGUUGUCGGAUCGGAAAGCUCGGUUGUAAGAGAAGAAAGGGUGUGAGAGUGGAAAGUUCACAGUGUGACGGUAUCUUAUCAGAAAGGGACGGCUAACUACGUG